rnacentral:rRNA from 1 species
GCGAAGCUCCUGAUCGAAGCCCCAGUAAACGGCGGCCGUAACUAUAACGGUCCUAAGGUAGCGAAAUUCCUUGUCGGGUAAGUUCCGACCUGCACGAAUGGCGUAAUGAUGGCCAGGCUGUCUCCACCCGAGACUCAGUGAAAUUGAACUCGCUGUGAAGAUGCAGUGUACCCGCGGCAAGACGGAAAGACCCCGUGAACCUUUACUAUAGCUUGACACUGAACAUUGAGCCUUGAUGUGUAGGAUAGGUGGGAGGCUUUGAAGUGUGGACGCCAGUCUGCAUGGAGCCAACCUUGAAAUACCACCCUUUAACGUUUGAUGUUCUAACCUAGGCCCAUAAACUGGGUCGGGGACCGUGUCUGGUGGGUAGUUUGACUGGGGCGGUCUCCUCCUAAAGAGUAACGGAGGAGCACGAAGGUUGGCUAAGCAUGGUCGGACAUCAUGCGGUUAGUGCAAAGGCAUAAGCCAGCUUGACUGCGAGAGUGACGGCUCGAGCAGGUACGAAAGUAGGUCUUAGUGAUCCGGUGGUUCUGAAUGGAAGGGCCAUCGCUCAACGGAUAAAAGGUACUCCGGGGAUAACAGGCUGAUACCGCCCAAGAGUUCAUAUCGACGGCGGUGUUUGGCACCUCGAUGUCGGCUCAUCACAUCCUGGGGCUGAAGUAGGUCCCAAGGGUAUGGCUGUUCGCCAUUUAAAGUGGUACGCGAGCUGGGUUUAGAACGUCGUGAGACAGUUCGGUCCCUAUCUGCCGUGGGCGUUGGAAGAUUGAGAGGGGUUGCUCCUAGUACGAGAGGACCGGAGUGAACGCACCACUGGUGUUCGGGUUGUCAUGCCAAUGGCAUUGCCCGGUAGCUAAGUGCGGAAGAGAUAACCGCUGAAAGCAUCUAAGCGGGAAACUUGCCUCGAGAUGAGUCUUCCCUGUCGCUUUAAGCGACCUAAAGGAACGUUUAAGACUAAGACGUUGAUAGGCUGGGUGUGUAAGCGUAGCGAUACGUUGAGCUAACCAGUACUA